CACAAAUGAGCCCAUAUGGGCGUUUUAACAGUUGAUAUGCCAUUUUUCCCCCCUAGCUUAAAAUGAGUACUCCCACGAGAAGAAGUAAAAUAAGCUAGAACCAUUAUUGUACCCCCGACCCCAUUUGAAGGGGCAUUGCGGUUGUAAAAUGGGGGUUUUCAAGGAAUAACGGUGGCGUAGGGGAAAUUGAGACGAGCCAAACAGAGAAAAGAAUAACUCAGCCAUGACCAACAAGGCAGUCAGCCGCAGCGACAAUUUCAGUAGGAUUAUUUCUGCAGUCAGAUUCGAAAUAUCCCGCGCAAUGUGUGCCGGCGCUGUUUUUCUGUUCGGAGUAGCCGCGCCUUGGUGCUGCAGAGGACGCCGAAGUCGGAACUACGCGCGGAGGAACACCAGCCUUCGGAGCGCGCGCGCGCGCGGUGAAAGCUGCGAUCGAGCAGCCAUUUGCCAGCGACGGCACAUUCUUCUACCGUGGUUGAUGUUUCUCACUGCUUUGAACCCCCAAGACUCCACGGACUGCGGCUGCGGUCGUUUCAUUGCCAACUGUGAGGAUGACGCAGCUUCAUGGCCGGAGAUCGGGCGCCUCCCAUCAGUUUCCCUUUUCAGCAAUAGAGGCCUUGGAGCCCUUUCUACCUGCGUUGCAUCCUGUGGCUGGGCCACUCCAACGAUCUCGGCAGAAUCGUUACACAGGAAGAAGUCUGCCUGGCCCCAAGCCUGGUGCAAAAUGAAGAAAUGGCACUCCACAUCAAUUCAUGUUUACUUGUCGUCAUAACCAGUCUGUUAGCUUAAUUUUUGGUUCUUCCUAUUGAAUUCUCAAGAAAGGUACCAACUCUGUCAUUAAUUGAAAACAAAUUUUUGCACUUGGGGAUGCAGCCAUGCACAAAGCCUUUGAGCUCAUUAAUAUCUUUAUUUUUUAAAGAAAGUGCAGCUCCUGCGUGGAGCAAUAGGCUGAAUAAGACGAGGGUAAAUGAAAAGAUGGUGAAAUUAGUCAUCAACAGUUGUCCAACAAAGGAAGUCUCAAGCUGGAGGCAACAUCUUUGCAAGAGAACCAAAUGGCUCCAGCCUGAGACAUUCGUUGUUCAACCUGGCAAGUCUCCUUCUCGAAAUAUUUCCUCUAGCCUGAGACCUAUAUCCAUUCCACCACCCUUGACCAACAAUACACCUAUACAUUUGGCAACCCAUGGAAAGGUAGCAAAUUCACAUUCGAGGAAAGGGAAUGUAGUGUGCACCCUGGAAGGCAGCAUGAACAGUAUUUUAUUUACUUAAUGAUAUGCAGAUUUGCUAUCCAAUUACUUUAUUUUGAUCCCCGUUGUAUAAUUGGACAGCAUCGUUCCUCAGAGAGAAUAAUAAUUCAAAGCUCACACAAUUUUGCUCCUUUAUGUCCGUUAAAUCUGUCCUGGUUGCUACACUAUCAGCCCUGUCUGCAAUUGCAUAGCAGUGUUUUGAGCAUGCAUCCAAAUUCAAAAGAAUAGUUAGGCUUCUACCUCAGAAUGUUUGCUACUGUGUUGCAGCUCGAAUUCUAUGUCUAGGUGGUCACUGUGAUGCCAUGUGCUUUUUAAAUAAGACCAAUAUGCUAUUUGAAGGGCAAUUAAAUGCAAUCUCAAAUGACCUCAGCUCGGGGAAUGACACAAUUGGAGGUCAAUGUGAUAAGGAGGAUUUGAUUUCUGAAAACAAGGCACUUAAACGGGAGAAAGCAUGACUAAUUUCGUCUAAAGAUGCUGCUAUUGGAUAUGAUCAGGGAAGGUACUUGUUCGUGGCUGCAUUUGCAACAUGUUACAUUGCUGGCUUUCUAUAUUGCACUGGGUACAGUGAAAUGUUGCUGCUUGCACAAUAUUCAACUAAACAUGGUAGCCAUGCUAAUGUGUCCAUGCAGAACACAACUUAUCCACUAUUAUGGACUACAGUGGAAUCUCGAUAAACGAAAAUCGCUUCGAAACUGCCGCUUAAAUAGGACACCAUCCUGAUAAUUGGUUGGCUCUCUGCAAUGUCUCUCAGUAAAUAUAAUGCCUGGUAAAUGGAACCAAUUUCCCUGGCACCUUGAGGCUCCAUUUAAAGAGCACCCACUGUAAAAAUAUAGGGGGGAUCGUGUUUGGAACUUUCGUAAAUGUAGUCUUAAACAAAACCGCAUUUCAGUGGGAGCGAAAUGCAAAAGCACCCGUGUACUUAGACAGGGGCAUGUUAAAGAACCCCAGGUUGUCCAAAUUAAUUCGGGGUUACUCGCUAUAGCAUGUGUCAUAAUCAGAAGGUGUGUUCUGGUUCGUAAAAUACAAUGAUUUUUAAUAGCUUGCUCAGAAAUCCAGCACUAAAUUAUGUAGCUUGUUUGUGUGAUGAGUCCCAAUUUCUUAAUUUAGUACUUUGACAUUUAUCAUAUUUGUGUGCUAGUCCAUGCAAAAUACCACUGAUCGGCCUCAUUAUACCAGCCACUGUUAAUUAGGAAUGGCUUAGUCAAGCAACCUAAACUUACAGCACAAACACUUAAUACGAACCACAAAAGGAAGAAUCGACACACACUGGU